AGAGUUUGAUCCUGGCUCAGGAUGAAUGCUGGCGGCGCGCCUAACACAUGCAAGUCGAGCGGUAACAUGCUUCUCACCUUGGUUCGAAGGAGACUGGGGGUUGGGAAAUAGGAAUUAUGACUAAAUCUUUUUUCCACUUCCUAAUCCCUAAUCCCGUAACUUCGAGCUGAAGUGAGAAGUGAUGACGAGCGGCGGACGGCUGAGUAACGCGUGGGAACAUGCCCCAAAGUGAGGAAUAACUGCCCGAAAGGGUAGCUAAUGCCGCAUAUGGUCUUCGGAUUAAAGGAUUUAUCCGCUUUGGGAGUGGCCUGCGUACGAUUAGGUAGUUGGUGAGGUAAAGGCUCACCAAGCCUACGAUCGUUAACUGGUCUGAGAGGAUGAUCAGUCACACUGGAACUGAGACACGGUCCAGACUCCUACGGGAGGCAGCAGUGAGGAAUCUUCCACAAUGGGCGAAAGCCUGAUGGAGCGACGCCGCGUGCAGGAUGAAGGCCUUCGGGUUGUAAACUGCUUUUAUAAGUGAAGAAUAUGACGGUAACUUAUGAAUAAGCACCGGCUAACUACGUGCCAGCAGCCGCGGUCAUACGUAGGGUGCAAGCAUUAUCCGGAGUGACUGGGCGUAAAGAGUUGCGUAGGUGGACAAAUAAGCGAAUAGUGAAAUCUGAUGGCUCAACCAUACAGACUAUUAUUCGAACUGUUUGUCUCGAGAAUAGCAGAGGUAACUGGAAUUUCUAGUGUAGGAGUGAAAUCCGUAGAUAUUAGAAGGAACACCAAUGGCGUAGGCAGGUUACUGGGCUAUUUCUGACACUGAGGCACGAAAGCGUGGGGAGCGAACCGGAUUAGAUACCCGGGUAGUCCACGCCGUAAACGAUGGAUACUAGCUGUUGGAGGUAUCGACCCCUUCAGUAGCGAAGCUAACGCGUUAAGUAUCCCGCCUGUGGAGUACGGUCGCAAGACUAAAACAUAAAGGAAUUGACGGGGACCCGCACAAGCGGUGGAGCGUGUUCUUUAAUUCGAUGAUAAACGAAGAACCUUACCAGGGUUUGACAUCCCUUGAAUUACUUCGAAAGAAGUGAGUGCUUUAUUGAGCAAGGUGACAGGUGCUGCAUGGCCGUCGUCAGCUCGUGUCGUGAGAUGUUUGGUUAAGUCCAUCAACGAGCGCAACCCUUGUGAUUAGUUGUAUUUUUCUAAUCAGACUGCCCCGGUAACGGGGAGGAAGGAGGGGAUGAUGUCAGGUCAGUAUUGCCCUUACACCCUGGGCUAGAAACGCGCUACAAUGGCUGGUACAAUGCGCAGCGAAGUCGCGAGACGGAGCAAAUCGCAUCAAAGCCAGUCCCAGUUCGGAUUGUAGGCUGAAACUCGCCUGCAUGAAGUCGGAAUCGCUAGUAAUCGCAGAUCAGCAUGCUGCGGUGAAUACGUUCC
rnacentral:rRNA from 1 species